AGCGAAUUGGUGUAAUCGGUAGCAUAGCGGCCUCCAAAACCGCCUGGUAGAGGUUCGAGUCCUCUAUUCGUUGC
rnacentral:tRNA from 2 species